GACUACGGCCAUGCUACUCUGAACAAGCCCGAUCCCCUCUGAUCUGGGAAGCUAAAGCAGGGUCAGGCCUGGUUAGUUCUUGGAUGGGAGACCACCCAGGAAGACUGGGUGCUGUAGGCA
ensembl:rRNA 5S_rRNA 5S ribosomal RNA